GAUGAACGCUGGCGGCGUGCUUAACACAUGCAAGUCGAACGGAAAGGCCCAAGCUUGCUUGGGUACUCGAGUGGCGAACGGGUGAGUAACACGUGGGUGAUCUGCCCUGCACUUCGGGAUAAGCCUGGGAAACUGGGUCUAAUACCGGAUAGGACCACUUCUUGGAUGUUGUGGUGGAAAGUUUUUUCGGUGUGGGAUGAGCUCGCGGCCUAUCAGCUUGUUGGUGGGGUAAUGGCCUACCAAGGCGUCGACGGGUAGCCGGCCUGAGAGGGUGUACGGCCACAUUGGGACUGAGAGACGGCCCAGACUCCUACGGGAGGCAGCAGUGGGGAAUAUUGCACAAUGGGCGCAAGCCGGAUGCAGCGACGCCGCGUGGGGGAUGACGGCCUUCGGGUUGUAAACUCCUUUCGCUAGGGACGAAGCGUUUUGUGACGGUACCUGGAGAAGAAGCACCGGCUAACUACGUG
rnacentral:rRNA from 1 species